rnacentral:rRNA from 1 species
AGGGAAUCUUCCGCAAUGGACGAAAGUCUGACGGAGCAACGCCGCGUGAGUGAUGAAGGUUUUCGGAUCGUAAAGCUCUGUUGCCAGGGAAGAACGUCCUUAAGAGUAACUGCUUAAGGAGUGACGGUACCUGAGAAGAAAGCCCCGGCUAACUACGUGCCAGCAGCCGCGGUAAUACGUAGGGGGCAAGCGUUGUCCGGAAUUAUUGGGCGUAAAGCGCGCGCAGGCGGCUGUUUAAGUCUGGUGUUUAAUCCUGGGGCUCAACCCCGGGUCGCACUGGAAACUGGGCAGCUUGAGUGCAGAAGAGGAGAGUGGAAUUCCACGUGUAGCGGUGAAAUGCGUAGAGAUGUGGAGGAACACCAGUGGCGAAGGCGACUCUCUGGGCUGUAACUGACGCUGAGGCGCGAAAGCGUGGGGAGCAAAC